rnacentral:rRNA from 1 species
UUAAAUUGAAGAGUUUGAUCAUGGCUCAGAUUGAACGCUGGCGGCAGGCCUAACACAUGCAAGUCGAACGGUAACAGGAAGCAGCUUGCUGCUUUGCUGACGAGUGGCGGACGGGUGAGUAAUGUCUGGGAAACUGCCUGAUGGAGGGGGAUAACUACUGGAAACGGUGGCUAAUACCGCAUAACGUCGCAAGACCAAAGAGGGGGACCUUCGGGCCUCUUGCCAUCAGAUGUGCCCAGAUGGGAUUAGCUAGUUGGUGAGGUAACGGCUCACCAAGGCGACGAUCCCUAGCUGGUCUGAGAGGAUGACCAGCCACACUGGAACUGAGACACGGUCCAGACUCCUACGGGAGGCAGCAGUGGGGAAUAUUGCACAAUGGGCGCAAGCCUGAUGCAGCCAUGCCGCGUGUAUGAAGAAGGCCUUAGGGUUGUAAAGUACUUUCAGCGGGGAGGAAGGUGUUGUGGUUAAUAACCGCAGCAAUUGACGUUACCCGCAGAAGAAGCACCGGCUAACUCCGUGCCAGCAGCCGCGGUAAUACGGAGGGUGCAAGCGUUAAUCGGAAUUACUGGGCGUAAAGCGCACGCAGGCGGUCUGUCAAGUCGGAUGUGAAAUCCCCGGGCUCAACCUGGGAACUGCAUUCGAAACUGGCAGGCUUGAGUCUUGUAGAGGGGGGUAGAAUUCCAGGUGUAGCGGUGAAAUGCGUAGAGAUCUGGAGGAAUACCGGUGGCGAAGGCGGCCCCCUGGACAAAGACUGACGCUCAGGUGCGAAAGCGUGGGGAGCAAACAGGAUUAGAUACCCUGGUAGUCCACGCCGUAAACGAUGUCUACUUGGAGGUUGUGCCCUUGAGGCGUGGCUUCCGGAGCUAACGCGUUAAGUAGACCGCCUGGGGAGUACGGCCGCAAGGUUAAAACUCAAAUGAAUUGACGGGGGCCCGCACAAGCGGUGGAGCAUGUGGUUUAAUUCGAUGCAACGCGAAGAACCUUACCUGGUCUUGACAUCCACAGAACUUUCCAGAGAUGGAUUGGUGCCUUCGGGAACUGUGAGACAGGUGCUGCAUGGCUGUCGUCAGCUCGUGUUGUGAAAUGUUGGGUUAAGUCCCGCAACGAGCGCAACCCUUAUCCUUUGUUGCCAGCGAUUAGGUCGGGAACUCAAAGGAGACUGCCAGUGAUAAACUGGAGGAAGGUGGGGAUGACGUCAAGUCAUCAUGGCCCUUACGACCAGGGCUACACACGUGCUACAAUGGCGCAUACAAAGAGAAGCGACCUCGCGAGAGCAAGCGGACCUCAUAAAGUGCGUCGUAGUCCGGAUUGGAGUCUGCAACUCGACUCCAUGAAGUCGGAAUCGCUAGUAAUCGUGGAUCAGAAUGCCACGGUGAAUACGUUCCCGGGCCUUGUACACACCGCCCGUCACACCAUGGGAGUGGGUUGCAAAAGAAGUAGGUAGCUUAACCUUCGGGAGGGCGCUUACCACUUUGUGAUUCAUGACUGGGGUGAAGUCGUAACAAGGUAACCGUAGGGGAACCUGCGGUUGGAUCACCUCCUUACCUUAAAGAA